AAUCUGGUUGAUUCUGCCAGUAGCAUAUGCUUAUCUUGGAGAUUAAGCCAUGCAUGUCUAAGUAUAAGUUAUAUACGGCGAAACUGCGAAUGGCUCAUUAAAACAGUUAUAGUAUAUUUGAUAAUGUUUUUAUACGGAUAACCGUUGGGAAACCAGAGCUAAUACGUGCUUAAAGCCUUCGGGUGUAUUUAUUAGUUAUAAACCAAUGGCAUUGCCAAUGUGAUGAAUCAUAAUAACUGAUCGGAGCGCAUUUGUAUGCGCUAAAUCUUUCUAGUUUCUGCCCUAUCAGCUUUGAUGGUAGUGUAUUGGACUACCAUGGCUAUCACGGGUAACGGAGAAUUAGGGUUCUAUUCCGGAGAGGGAGCCUGAGAAACGGCUACCACACCUACGGGAGGCAGCAGGCGCGUAAAUUACCCAAUCCUGACUCAGGGAGGUAGUCACGAGAAAUCUUGGAUCGGCCCAAGCUGGCUGAGUACACGAUGGAUUGAAUACAAACCAUUCUUUGAAAUCAAUUGGAGGGCAAAUCUGGUGCCAGCAGCCGCGGUAACUCCAGCUCCAAUAGUGUAUCUUAACGUUGUUGCAGUUAAAAAGCUCGUAGUUGAAUUUCUGGGGGGGUGUUUCAAGGUUCGUCCUGUUACUGCCCUCUCAUCCGCUUUGGAACCAGGAGGGGUAUUUAGUUAUCGGCCUGGGGAAGGGGCAUUUUACUUUGAAGAAAUUAGAGUGUUCCAGGCAGGCUUUGCUUGAAUACAUCAGCAUGGAAUAAUGGAAUAGGACAAUGUUCAUUUUAUUGGCUAUUGAACUUGUAAUGAUUAACAGGGACAGUUGGGGGCAUUCGUAUUCAUUUGUCAGAGGUGGAAUUCUUGGAUUAACUGAAGACGAACUAAUGCGAAAGCAUUUGCCAAGGAUGUUUUCAUUAAUCAAGAACGAAAGUUAGGGGAUCAAAGACGAUUAGAUACCGUCGUAGUCCUAACUAUAAACUAUACCGACUAGGGAUUGGCAGGGGGACAGACCCCUGUCAGCACCUAAUGAGAAAUCAAAGUCUUUGGGUUCUGGGGGGAGUACGGUCGCAAGGCUGAAACUUAAAGGAAUUGACGGAAGGGCACCACCAGGAGUGGAGCCUGCGGCUUAAUUUGAUUCAACACGGGGAAACUUACCAGGGCCAGACCUGAGUAUGAUUGACAGAUUGAGAGCUUUUUCUUGAUGACGGGGAUGGUGGUGCAUGGCCGUUCUUAGUUGGUGGAGUGAUUUGUCCGGUUAAUUCCCUUAACAAACGAGACCUUAACCUGCUAAACUAGGUGUGCUUAUUUCUUAUGCAUUACCUUCUUAGAGGGACUAUGUGAUCUAAACACAUGGAAGUUUGAGGCAAUAACAGGUCCGUGAUGCCCUUAGAAGUCCUGGGCCGCACGCGUGCUACACUGACUCAUUCAACAAGUAUAACCUAAUCCGAAAGGGGACGGGAAAUCUUUACAACGCGAGUCGUGCUAUGGAUUGAUGUUUGCAAUUUUUUAUCAUGAAAUAGGAAUUCCUAGUAAUCAUAAGUCAUCAUCUUGUGGUGAUUACGUCCCUGCCCUUUGUACACACCGCCCGUCGCUCCUACCGAUUGAGUGGUCCGGUGAACUUUUUGGACUAUUCGCCCUUAGCUGGAUAGGAAGUUAAGCAAACCUUAUCACUUAGAGGAAGGAGAAGUCGUAACAAGGUUUCCGUAGGUGAACCUGCAGAAGGAUCA
rnacentral:rRNA from 1 species